AAGGUUAUACAAAUUAUUGUUAUAUAAAAUAUAAAACAUGAAUUUUUAUUAUAAGUAAAAAUACUUAUAUACAGUAAAGGGACGAUAAGACCCUAGAAGCUUUAGUCAUUGCUAUAUAAAAUAAUUCUAUUUAACUCUUAUAUUUGUAAAAACUUUGGUUGGGGAAACAGAAAUUACAAAAAUAAUUUUGUUUAUAUAAAUAAUACAAUUUUUUAGGUCUUUUAAAUAAAAAUAAACAGUAAAAGUUACUCUAGGGAUAACAGCGUAAUAAUUUUGGUUAGACCACAUAUAUAAAAUUGAUUACGACCUCGAUGUUGAAUUAAAAUAUCUUUAUAAAGUAGAAAUUAUAAAAGAAG
rnacentral:rRNA from 1 species